rnacentral:piRNA from 1 species
UGCUUUGGUAGCUAAUACGGUUGGAU